rnacentral:lncRNA from 1 species
UCAUCCAUUUGUUUUUAUCUGUUUUAUAUAUUCUAAUUUUUUCUAAUUGUUUGCAGGUACCUGGUUGUUGAAUUGGAGAAGUUCUUUUUUAUCCUUUUGUUUUAUAAUCUGAAAAAACCAAGGCAGAAUGAUAUUGUGCCCUGUAUUUCACCAGUUAAAUGUGUGAAAAAACAUUUGGUUUGGUGUAUGAAAAAUGAUAUUGUUGUAGAUCAAUUAAAUUUAGAAGAUGAUGAUGAUGCAUAACUCAAUUCUGUGGAGAAUGUGGACCUAGUUGAAGACAACGUUAGUCAAGCUUUGGACUUAAAUGGUGAAGAAAUGGAACCUCAAUAUGAAACAACUUUGACUCAUUGAUGUUAAAGUUUUAAAUAUAUAAUAUGUUUUGUAGACUGAGUUAUGAACUUGCAUCAUAUGUUUCGAGUUUGUCAAGUAAGACAAGUACUUGUGGAUUACUAUUUGUAUUUGUAAUUUAGACUUUGAAUUUAUUAAAGUUGUUUGUUUAUGAGAAUUCUUAUUUUGACUAUAAAUAUGGAUUAUAAAUUUGAG